CAAAAAGUGCAGAUUUCAGUAGAAAUUUAUACUUUUCUAAACUAACCUGGUUACAUCCCCUGGCUUUCAAGCAGAAAAAUGAUCCUGUUACUUCCUGGUUUGGUUAGCUCAGUGGAGCUAAACUCAUGAGGCAGCAAUUGCACAGAGCACCUGCCUUUUAAAGAUUUCUCAUUGAGAUGCAUUGGAAAGUCUGUGAUUGGACAGCUACAGAAAGUUUGGGCGGGGUUAGAAGGGGAGGGUUUGCAAAGGCAGCAGACCUGACAACUGCAGCUUACGCAAGUGAUUUUUAGAUAUACCACCAAUGAGAAAAUACAUAAUUACAUGAAUGCAAGUUUUGAUUGAGGAUAUAUCUACUAAACGGUGAUUUUCAUUUAUAUUUGGGCAGUGAAGUCUCCCUUUAAGCAACAUUUGAUUAUUUUUUUUGUAAAAAACAAACAAACAAAGCACACAUUGGCUCUACCCCCUUCCCCUCUGCUCUGAGGUUAAUGUAGCAAUAUAGAAAGUUAUUUUCCCUUUCCCCCGUUCAUUGAUUUUCAAUGCAAACUGGUUAACAGCAGUGUUCCCUUUAACACGUUGGUGUGGUUCCACGCUAAACCACACCCUGCUGUUUGCAGAAGGUAUUCCAUGCACACCACAGGGUGUUGUUCCUUUCUUAACAAUUUCUGUGUUAAAGAGGAAACACAAAUUCUACAUUAAUAGCACAGUUCUUCCUAGUGUGUGCAGUAAAAUAAAGAUUAGUAGUACGUUGUUAAAAAAAUUCCCAACCCCCCAAAACAAUGAAAUAAAAGUGCUUAUGCAAGUGAACAGAACUGGAGACAGCUUCCAUUAUCUUGUGUGAGCAUAUUUCUUUCAUUUCAAGCAUCAAAUACAAUACAUCAUAAUGCUGUUCCAUUACUGUUGUGAUGAUUUUUGGGGGGAGAGAAAAUUAUUACAUUUGCCCCAAAACAUAUUUCUAGUCUAUUGGCUGUUAGUCUGACAUCCACUAUAGGAACUUCCUACUUGCAACCUUUGAUUAUUGAAGGUCUUCAUAUUUAGUGUCAUCACACACAGCAUGAUGACACUGAAUGUGUCCAAUACUUUCAUAGAGAAGCAAUGGAUUCAAGGUUUCUCUACGAGUCUAACAAUUGCUGUGCGUUGUUUUUCUGUGAGAAGCACAGACCUGGCACAGCGAGGAGCAGCUAUUGUGAGGAAGCUGUCCCAGCACUGGAUUACAGGGAAGGAUAAAGAGAGACUCUAGGUCAGAGGUAGGCAACCUUCGGCACUCCAGAUGUUUUGGACUACAUCUCCCACAACGCUCUUAAAACUAUAAUACUGGCAAAAAUAAUCACAGGAGAUGAAGUCCACAACAUCUGGAGUGCCGAAGGUUGCCUAGCCCUGCUCUUGACACUAUAACCAUUUGCUGUCCUGCCAUUCAGUGUUAAACUAUUUUCGACCUAAAUGAAUACUCCUUUCUGCCCAUUGUCUGUCCCUUAUCGUAGCUAUGGUUGCCUGUGAUAGACUGGAAGUGGUCAGCUGGCACUCUCUCACAAUUACUGCUGGCCGGCUAAUGCAUCCUGGUUAGCCCAAGCAGCACAGAGGUGACAAACCACUGGGGAUUCUUGUUUAGUAUUAAACCAUUACAAGCACUUUAACACUGGACAGAUAGUUCACUGGAUUUUUCUGCAAGGAGAACCUGGAAGCAGGUUUGUGGCCACAAGAACCCAUAUAAAAUGUCAAACUAAUCUAAAACAGUUUGACAAAUUUUCUGAGAUGGUGCCAAUGCAGUCCUGGCAAUAUAACAGCUGCCUGAAUGAGAUGCUAACAGUGGAAUAAUGGUCUCCUAGAGGGCUCAUUCAUGUUGAUGACGUCCUCUGAAUGAAAGGAUGGCUGAGGAUUGGUUGGGAUAGCCCAGGAAUUCCUAGUAUGAAGCUGUGACAGAAUCUUCUUUGACGGCCUUCUGAAGAGGCGUGAAGGUCCCAAGAGCUACUGUCAAUACGGGGGCCCAAGAUGCUUAUUAUGCUUCUCAGCUGGACCUGAAGACCUCUGGGGAUUGCCUGGACUCAAUCUACGCCUAGAGCGCCUGACAGGGAGAUACCCUAAAGCACCCUGGAACUGUUCCUUGGAUCGGGACAAGUGGCUAUCGCUCAGUCCCCUGACUUUCAAAUAGAGUGCUAUGAGGAGGGGGUGUCAGGGCGGCAUUGAAGAAUACCUGGAGCUUGAGAGUGAACACCUUUUCAGAGACUGGGAAUAAGCAGCCACACGCCUAGAACCCACUGUCGUGCCACGACCCGCUAAAACGUUAACAUGCUCUCAGUCACGGAUUCUCCAAUCAGGACGCUAUUUGGACAGAAAGGGCACUUGGUGAUGAGCUUUCAAGGGAUAUAUAUUUUAUGAGGUACUGUUCAGGGAAAGGGGGUUCUGGCUGACAUUUUGUAUGCUGUGCUAAGUGCACAGCAGGGAGCCAAUUAUGCUAGCAUGGGGUAAUGUGAUUAAGUCCCCAGACCAAGUGGCGCCAGAGAGGGACAAUUGUGCAGUACAUUCUAUUGUAUGAAAGACCCCUUGCAGGGACAGCCAACACUGUAAAUAUAAAUAGCUAUUUGUUUGCAGUGAAGAUUGAUUCUACCUCCUGCAUUGAGACUUGUCUAAUUUGUGGAGGAAAGGCUAUAGAAAAACUAUAAUAGCUUCUCUAAUAUAGCUAUAUUCACUG